UACAGAGGGUGCGAACGUUGCUCGGAAUUACUGGGCGUAAAGCGUGCGCAGGCGGUUUUGUAAGACUGACGUGAAAUCCCCGGGCUCAACCUGGGAAUGGCGUUGGUGACUGCAAGGCUAGAGUUUGGCAGAGGGGGGUAGAAUUCCACGUGUAGCAGUGAAAUGCGUAGAUAUGUGGAGGAACACCGAUGGCGAAGGCAGCCCCCUGGGUCAAAACUGACGCUCAUGCACGAAAGCGUGGGGAGCAAACAGG
rnacentral:rRNA from 1 species